AAUGACAGCCUCCGAGAAUAAUAUGCACCUUUUUACUACAUUAUUCAUGAUAAGAAUGAUACUCUUGUCCAGGUGCUCAGUUCAUUUCCGCCUGAUAUUUCUUUCAGGAGUAAUUUGAUUGGCCUCCAUCUUAUGUCAUGGCAAUAUCUUGUAUCCCGAUUGGAUUGGAUUAACCUGACGCAAGAACACAAUAUGUUUCGUUGGAAUCUGACUACAUCUGGGUCAUUCACAAUAGUCUCUAUGUAUCGUGUGCUCACGCAUUUAGAUGUCCCAGUGGAUAAUAACAAGAAAAUUUAA
rnacentral:rRNA from 1 species